AACGAACGCUGGCGGCAUGCCUAACACAUGCAAGUCGAACGAGACCUUCGGGUCUAGUUGCGCACGGGUGCGUCACGCGUGGGAACCUGCCCUUAGGUUCGGAAUAACUCCCCGACAGGGGUGCUAAUACCGGAUAAUGUCUUCGAACAAAAGAUUUAUCGCCUUUGGAUGGGCCCGCGUUGGAUUAGCUAGUUGGUAGGGUAAAAGCCUACCAAGGCGACGAUCCAUAGCUGGUCAGAGAGGAUGAGCAGCCACACUGGGACUGAGACACGGCCCAGACUCCUACGGGAGGCAGGAGUGGGGAAUAUUGGACAAUGGGGGAAAGGCUGAUCCAGCAAUGCCGGGUGAGUGAUGAAGGCCGUAGGGUUGUAAAGCUCUUUUACCCGGGAUGAUAAUGACAGUACCGGGAGAAUAAGCUCCGGCUAACUCCGUG
rnacentral:rRNA from 1 species